rnacentral:rRNA from 1 species
UACGGGGGGAGCAAGCGUUGUUCGGAUUUACUGGGCGUAAAGGGCGCGUAGGCGGCCAUGACAAGUCACUUGUGAAAUCUCCGGGCUUAACUCGGAACGGUCAAGUGAUACUGUCGGGCUAGAGUGCAGAAGGGGCAACUGGAAUUCUCGGUGUAGCGGUGAAAUGCGUAGAUAUCGGAAGGAACAUCAGUGGCGAAAGCGACUUCCUGGACCAGUACCGACGUUCAGGCACGAAAGCGUGGGGAGCAAACAGG